rnacentral:misc_RNA from 1 species
GAUGAAGAACGUAGCGAAAUGCGAUAAGUAAUGUGAAUUGCAGAAUUCAGUGAAUCAUCGAAUCUUUGAACGCACCUUGCACUCCUUGGUAUUCCGAGGAGUACGCCUGUUCGAGUGUUAUGAAGCUCUCAAAACGCAAUUGGCUUAAAACCUGAUUGUUGUUUUGGAUUUGAACUUUGCCGUGUUAUAACGGCUGGUUUUAAAAGUAUUAGCUGGUACUAGAACGAAUUGGUUCUACUCAACGUGAUAAUUAUCUGAUCGUUGAGGACAUUCCUUUCACGAGGAAUGGCCAUAGUAAAUUCAAUGGACUGCUUCUAAUCUGGCUUUAAUUCUUUAUUGGAUUAACCACUUUUCAAAUCUGACAUCGAAUCAGGUGGGACUACCCGCUGAACUUAAGCAUAUCAAUAAGCGGAGGA